AACGAACGCUGGCGGCAUGCCUAACACAUGCCAGUCGAACGAGACCUUCGGGUCUAGUGGCGCACGGGGGCGUAACGCGGGGGAAGCUGCCCUUAGGUUCGGAAUAACUCACCGAAAGGGGUGCUAAUACCGGAUAAUGUCAUCGGACCAAAGAUCUAUUGCCAUUGGAUGGGCCCUCGUUGGUUUAGCUGGUUGGUAGGGGAAAAGCCUACCAAGGCGACGAUGCAUAGCUGGUGUGAGAGGAUGAUCAGCCACACUGGGGCUGCGACACGGCCCAGACUCGUACGGAAGGCAGCAGUAGGUAAUAUUGGACACUGGGCGAAAGCCUGAUCCAGCAAUGCCGCGUAAGUGAUGAAGGCCUUAGGGUUGUAAAGCUCUUUUACCCGGGAUGAUAAUGACGGUACCGGGAGAAUAAGCUCCGGCUAACUACGUG
rnacentral:rRNA from 1 species